rnacentral:rRNA from 1 species
CCUAAUCCCCCCAGAGCUAUAAGGCGCCGCCAGCGCCGCAUUUCCCCAACCCUUGCGCCACAACCAGACGGGAGGAGGAGAGCGGCGGCGAAGAUGGUGUCGCUGAAGCUGCAGAAGCGCCUGGCCUCGAGCGUCCUCAAGUGCGGCAAGGGCAAGGUCUGGCUCGACCCCAAUGAGGUCAACGAGAUCUCCAUGGCCAACUCCCGGCAGAACAUCCGGAAGCUGGUGAAGGAUGGUUUCAUCAUCAGGAAGCCUCAGAAGAUCCACUCCAGGUCUCGUGCAAGGAGGGCACAUGAGGCCAAGCAGAAGGGCCGUCACUCUGGAUAUGGUAAGCGUAGGGGUACCAGGGAGGCUAGGCUCCCCACCAAGAUCCUGUGGAUGCGGAGGAUGCGCGUCCUCAGGCGCCUUCUGCGCAAGUACCGUGAGGCCAAGAAGAUCGACAAGCACAUGUACCAUGACAUGUACCUGAAGGUCAAGGGUAACAUGUUCAAGAACAAGAGGGUCCUCAUGGAGAGUAUCCACAAGUCCAAGGCUGAGAAGGCAAGAGAGAAGACCCUCUCUGACCAGUUCGAGGCCAAGCGCGCCAAGAGCAAGGCAAGCAGGGAGAGGAAGAUUGCCAGGAGGGAGGAGAGAUUGGCUCAGGGCCCGAGAGAUCAUGCACCAGCACCAGCGGCUGCAGCUCCCGCUCAGGCAGCAGCGGCACCAAAGAAGGCCAAGAAGUGAAGGUCUGACAUGAAGCUUUAGCUUUCUGAGAUGCUUAUGCAGAGUUUGUUAAAACAUUUAUAUUAUGCUUUUGAACCUAGUUUACUCAUUCUGUGCGUGCAAAUUUA